GGGGCGUGAGCCAUCCGGUGGAGAGAUCACUAGUGAGAAUGAUGACAUGAGUAGCGACAAAGAGUGUGAGAGACACUCUCGCCGAAAGUCCAAGGGUUCCUGCUUAAAGCUAAUCUGAGCAGGGUAAGCCGGCCCCUAAGCCGAGGCCGAAAGGCGUAGGCGAUGGGAACCAGGUUAAUAUUCCUGGGCCAGGAGGAUGUGACGGAUCGUGACUGUUGUUCGCCCUUAUCGGAUUGGGCGGGCCGCUGAGCGGUUCCUGGAAAUAGCCCUCCAUUAGAUCGUACCCUAAACCGACACAGGUGGACUGGUAGAGAAUACCAAGGCGCUUGAGAGAACGAUCUUGAAGGAACUCGGCAAAAUACCUCCGUAAGUUCGCGAGAAGGAGGCCCGGU
rnacentral:rRNA from 1 species